ensembl:lncRNA ECEL1P2 endothelin converting enzyme like 1 pseudogene 2
CGAGGACUGCGGGGGCUGGGACCUGCGCGGCGCGGCGGAGCGCCGGGGGGUUGCUGCGCGAUGGGACCUCAACUGGCUGCUGUAAAAAAGUGCAGGGCGUGUACAGCGCCGCCGCGCUCUUCUCGCUUAUGGUCAGCCUGGACGACAGGAACUCUUUGCGCUACGUCGUCCGUGCCUACCGAAGAUGGAGCUCCCUCGCAGGGGGUAGCCUCCGAAGGAGAAGACGUGGGAGUGGUCGGCAGUGACGAGGCUCAGCGUGUCCUCCUCGCUGGUGAGCUGGCCCGCCCUCUCAAUGGCGUCGUCGAACAUGAUCGUCUCAGUCAGUGCCCGGGUGUCAGAGGUCAGUAUAUGUGACCAACGUCUGUGACCUGGCCGUGACCCAGCAGCGGGCCCCAGCUCACCUGCUUUCUUGGCCCGAUUCAUCACGGAGAUGACCUCGUUGCCGCGUGUCGUGUUGCACUGGUUAAAGCGGGCGGCUGCACUCAAGCCAAUGGUCUGGAAGUUGCCCUUGACCCCGCACAGGAUCCUGGCAGCUGUCACCGUAGACACCCCCAUCCCUGAAGGAACAGAAAUGUGUGAGGCUUGGGCCCCAGGGCUCUCCUGGAACCACUGAGGGUCCGGGCGCCGGGGCUGUGAGGGCUGCAGGGCUGGAAGGCCUGGCUCACUCACCAUCGCCCAGGAAGAUGAUGAGGUUCUUGGCGGCUGUCUGUGCAGGCUGCAGCUUCUUGGCGGCACCCAGGGCCUCGGCUGCCUCGCGGUUCCAGAAGUCCGGGUUCUCCUCCUCAACUGGCCAGGGGGAGAGCAAAAAUCAGGAAACAGAAGGACCAAGACGACCAAUCCUCUGAGAAUACACGCCACAGCCUGGGCCUCCCCUUGCCCCAGGUAACAGCAACCAAGAAUCCCAGGAAUGGAGGCUUUGGCUCUUCCUCCAGCCGGGGAAGACCUGCUGCUUCUGCUUUGAAAUCCCUGGACCUCAGAGGAAGGGCUGUAACCAGACAUUAUGACAGGCGACUCUGGCAUGAAGGACAGAUUGGCUUCGGUGACACAUCCAACAGUGGAUGAGUUGGCGGAUGAAGCAAGAGCUUGUGAAAUACUAAGCAGUGAGCUGUCCUUCCAUCCAGAGGCAAGAAGGCGCUGGAGAACAGUAACAGCCAGAAAAGCACAUAGAGUCUCACUCUGUUGCCCAUGCUAGAGUGCAGUGGCCCAAUCUCAAUUUACUGCAAGCUCCGCUUCCCGAGUUCAAGUGAUUCUCCUGCCUCAGCCUCCCGAGUAGCUGGGACCACAGGCACCCACCACCACACUCGGCUAAUUUUUAUUAUUUUUAGUAGAGAUGGAGUUUCACCAUGCUGGUCAGGCUGGUCUCAAACUCCUGACCUCAAGUGAUCCACCCGCCUCGGUCCCCCAAAGUGUUGGGAUUACAGGUGUGACCCACUGCUCCCAGCCACAAAUAUUUUAAUAAAUUCCAAAAUCUUAUUUUUAACCAUUA